GAAUCAUUUCAAUUCAGUAGAAAAUGUUUCAACAAAGGAACGUUUAAUAAAUUAGGUUGGGAUGAAAUAAAAAAAAAAAAUGUUAAAAAAUAAUCCUCAAAAAUGGUAUUGAAUCCCUUCCAUUUCAAAGGCUCUGCUCCUGCAAUAGGACUUACCUUUAUCACAGUAUGAGAGAUGGCCUGACCUCCUGAAGUCAUGUGUUAGUUACAUUGGAAUUACAAACACUUAUUUUAAAGUAUUACCCUUAAACCUGCUGUGGCUUGCUGUACCAAAGAGCAGUUUGAACCACACAGUUAAUACUUGCAGUAGGUUUAUUCUGACAGAAGAGAAUUUUACUGUAGGAGUUUUAAAUAUCACACAUAUUUCAUCAGGACUUAACUGAUGGCAACUGAAUGUAAAACAAUUUGUGGUUUGUGAAAUGCAGAUCACUAACCAUUGUCUCCUGUUUUUCCAAGUCAGCUGAUUAUAAGGUCUUGUGUGGGAUGCAGCACGGCUCUGUUUACUAGACAUGCAUACUUUAUUUUUUUACUUGCUAGGGAACAGGUGUAUGAACAGGUGUAUGAGCAGGUGUAUGAGCAGGUGUAUGAGCAGGUGUAUGAGCAGGUGUAUGAGCAGGUGUAUGAGCAGGUGUAUGAACAGGUGUAUGAGCAGGUGUAUGAGCAGGUGUAUGAACAGGUGUAUGAGCAGGUGUAUGAACAGGUGUAUGAGCAGGUGUAUGAGAAGGUGUAUGAGCAGGUGUAUGAGAAGGUGUAUGAACAGGUGUAUGAACAGGUGUAUGAGCAGGUGUAU